AUAUGUUGUAGCCUAAAACCAUCCAUUUUACCACUCGAUAUGUUCACAAUCCCUGUUUCUUUUAACUGUUAAGUAAACUGAACCAAGGACUACACUCCUAUUCCCACCACACUAACUGGUUCUGUACCCUCCUGGGAGAAAAUUGACUUGGAGACCAUUUCCACAGGGUAUGACCCUGCAGUGGAAACUGCUACUCAGGAACCAAGAAUGAUUGUGUUGUGAUCCAACCCCACUCAGCUCCUCCCAGUGGUCUUUAUGUACAUAAGCACUGCCUUUGCCCUCACAUGAUACACCCUCCUUCUCAGAAGGAUUUCUGCUUGCAAGAGUUUCCUCACUUUGAAAUUAAACUUCUAUUUGUGUCUUGACUCUCCUGCCUCUGACCUGCUUUGUGUGGCUCCCACCACCCACAGGUUAGAGGCUAGUUGUGGUCUGGUUAACAUAAAUUGGUGUCAGAAGUGGGAUUGGACAUGGAACUGGGUCACUGGACUCUCCAGUACCAGUGGGAGUGGACUAGGUGCCACCAGAGAUUUCUCCAGAGUCCAGCACCCCCUCCUCAGUCUGUUUUGCAAGUGUUUGCAGAGAGGUAUCCAAUGGUUCAAUGUCUAGUUCUUCUGAGUGGGAGUAAAGAACCAGACACAAGAAAAAUCUCCCAAAGUGAACCCAGACUCUCCUACAACUGAAGCUGGACAGAAGUUUUAUCUAGUCAGAAGCUUGGAGUAUUAACUGCCUGACACAAAGUUAAUUCAGGGACAGGGAAGAUCAAGGAACAAAUUCAGAAGAGG